CCUACGGGAGGCAGCAGUGGGGAAUAUUGGGCAAUGGGCGCAAGCCUGACCCAGCAACGUCGCGUGAAGGAAGAAGGCUCUCGGGUUGUAAACUUCUUUUCUGAGGGACGAAGAAAGUGACGGUACCUCCGGUAUAAGCCACGGCUAACUACGUGCCUGCAGCCGCGGUAAUACGUAGGUGGCAAGCGUUAUCCGGAUUUAUUGGGUGUAAAGGGAGUGUAGGCGGGAAGGCAAGUCAGAUGUGAAAACUCAGGGCUCAACCCUGAGCCUGCAUUUGAAACUGUUUUUCUUGAGUGCUGGAGAGGCAAUCGGAAUUCCGUGUGUAGCGGUGAAAUGCGUAGAUAUACGGAAGAACACCAAUGGCGAAGGCAGAUUGCUAGACAGUAACUGACGCUGAGGCGCGAAAGCGUGGGGAGCAAACAGGAUUAGAUACCCUUGUAGUC
rnacentral:rRNA from 1 species